ensembl:lncRNA
CCAGAACCAGAACCAGUGAAGGAACCAGAGCCCCAGCCUGUACCAGAACCCGUGGUACCAGAGUCUAAACCAGAGCCAGCACCAGAGCCGGUGGUGGAGGCUGCACCAGAACCAGAGUCUGUGGUACCAGAACCGGAGCCAGCCCCAGAGACCGUCCCAGUGGAAGAGCCUGUGGUGGUCCCAGAACCAAAGAAACCCAAAGAGACAAAAGUCAAGGAGCUGAAACCCAAGGAGCCGAAAGUGAAAGAGCCAAAAGCCAUUCUGGAUGAUGUAGCGGCGGCCGAGGAGAAGGUCACAUUUGCUCCGGGUAAAAAGAAGAGCAAGUUUGAGACGCUGAUGACCAAAGAGGAGAUCGAGGAGGAGCAGAGGGUUCAGCAGGAGCAGUUGGCGGCCAUUUUCCUUCUGCUCAGAGAGAGUCAGGAGAUGAGCGAGGGCGAGAUGGAAGAGCAGCUCAAACUCUACUCCCUGUGACCCCGCCCACAUCUGUGACA